GCUUUUGGAGUGUGGGAGAGUGCACGUAGGCUUUCCAAGUCUAAAGGCCAAAUUUUUGGUAAAAGCA
rnacentral:tRNA from 1 species